rnacentral:rRNA from 1 species
AACGAUAGCCAUACCACCCUGAAUGUGCCCAAUUUCAUCUGAUCUUGGAAGUUAAGCAGGGUUAGGUCUGGUUAGUACUUGGAUGGAAGAUAGCUUCUUACCAGUGCUAUUUGUUAUCAGUC